CGUAGGGUGCGAGCGUUAAUCGGAAUUACUGGGCGUAAAGCGUGCGCAGGCGGUGCACCAAGCUCGAUGUGAAAGCCCCGGGCUUAACCUGGGAAUUGCAUUGAGGACUGGUGUGCUCGAGUGCGGCAGAGGGGGGUGGAAUUCCACGUGUAGCAGUGAAAUGCGUAGAGAUGUGGAGGAACACCGAUGGCGAAGGCAGCCCCCUGGGCCGACACUGACGCUCAUGCACGAAAGCGUGGGGAGCAAACAGGAUUAGAUACCCUGGUAGUCCACGCCCUAAACGAUGUCAACUGGUUGUUGGGGAAGGAAACUUCCUUAGUAACGAAGCUAACGCGUGAAGUUGACCGCCUGGGGAGUACGGCCGCAAGGUUA
rnacentral:rRNA from 1 species